UGAGUAGGCGGUUUUUUAAGUCACAUGUGAAAUGCCCGGGCUCAACCUGGGAACUGCAUGAGAAACUGGAGAACUAGAGUACAGGAGAGGUAAGCGGAAUUCCUAGUGUAGCGGUGAAAUGCGUAGAUAUUAGGAAGAACACCAGUGGCGAAGGCGGCUUACUGGACUGAAACUGACGCUGAGUCACGAAAGCGUGGGGAGCGAACAGGAUUAGAUACCCUGGUAGUCCACGCUGUAAACGAUGAGUGCUAGGUGUUGGGUAGAGAUACUCGGUGCCGCAGCUAACGCAAUAAGCACUCCACCUGGGGAGUACGAUCGCAAGAUUGAA
rnacentral:rRNA from 1 species